AGGGAAACCGAGUCUUAACUGGGCGUUAAGUUGCAGGGUAUAGACCCGAAACCCGGUGAUCUAGCCAUGGGCAGGUUGAAGGUUGGGUAACACUAACUGGAGGACCGAACCGACUAAUGUUGAAAAAUUAGCGGAUGACUUGUGGCUGGGGGUGAAAGGCCAAUCAAACCGGGAGAUAGCUGGUUCUCCCCGAAAGCUAUUUAGGUAGCGCCUCGUGAACUCAUCUUCGGGGGUAGAGCACUGUUUCGGCUAGGGGGUCAUCCCGACUUACCAACCCGAUGCAAACUGCGAAUACCGAAGAAUGUUAUCACGGGAGACACACGGCGGGUGCUAACGUCCGUCGUGAAGAGGGAAACAACCCAGACCGCCAGCUAAGGUCCCAAAGUCACAGUUAAGUGGGAAACGAUGUGGGAAGGCUCAGACAGCCAGGAUGUUGGCUUAGAAGCAGCCAUCAUUUAAAGAAAGCGUAAUAGCUCACUGGUCGAGUCGGCCUGCGCGGAAGAUGUAACGGGGCUAAACUGUGCACCGAAGCUGCGGCAGCGACGCUUAUGCGUUGUUGGGUAGGGGAGCGUUCUGUAAGCCUGCGAAGGUGUCCUGUGAGGGAUGCUGGAGGUAUCAGAAGUGCGAAUGCUGACAUAAGUAACGAUAAUGCGGGUGAAAAGCCCGCUCGCCGGAAGACCAAGGGUUCCUGUCCAACGUUAAUCGGGGCAGGGUGAGUCGACCCCUAAGGCGAGGCCGAAAGGCGUAGUCGAUGGGAAACGGGUUAAUAUUCCCGUACUUGGUGUUACUGCGAAGGGGGGACGGAGAAGGCUAUGUUGGCCGGGCGACGGUUGUCCCGGUUUAAGCGUGUAGGCUGGUUUUCCAGGCAAAUCCGGAAAAUCAAGG
rnacentral:rRNA from 1 species